rnacentral:rRNA from 1 species
CAGCAGCCGCGGUAAUACGUAGGGUGCAAGCGUUAAUCGGAAUUACUGGGCGUAAAGCGUGCGCAGGCGGUUAUAUAAGUCAGAUGUGAAAUCCCCGGGCUCAACCUGGGAACUGCAUUUGAGACUGUAUGGCUAGAGUGUGUCAGAGGGGGGUAGAAUUCCACGUGUAGCAGUGAGAUGCGUAGAUAUGUGGAGGAAUACCGAUGGCGAAGGCAGCCCCCUGGGAUAACACUGACGCUCAUGCACGAAAGCGUGGGGAGCAAACAGGAUUAGAUACCCCCGUAGUCCCUGUCUCUUAUAC